UACGUAGGGUGCAAGCGUUGUCCGGAAUUAUUGGGCGUAAAGAGCUCGUAGGCGGUUUGUUGCGUCGGCUGUGAAAAUCCCGAGGCUCAACCUCGGGUCUGCAGUCGAUACGAGCAAACUAGAGUGUUGCAGGGGAGACUGGAAUUCCUGGUGUAGCGGUGAAAUGCGCAGAUAUCAGGAGGAACACCGGUGGCGAAGGCGGGUCUCUGGGCAACAACUGACGCUGGAGGAGCGAAA
rnacentral:rRNA from 1 species